CAGAGACCACAAUGAAGGCUCUCACCCACAUUCUUCUCAUUCCCUCUGCCUCCUGACUGAUCCUGGUGCUUCCCCGCGUAGCCCUGCAAGGUGUAUGAUGUGCUGUGCCCCUCCUCUUGGAAUCUUGUCCCUGAGGAUGACAAAGAAAACAAUUUAAAGCCCCCAGAAGCCCUCCAGGGACAGCACGUGGACAGAACAAACCUCGGUCUGCCCCAUGUCAGAGGGCUCCAUGGGGCGUGGACAUCGCCAGCCAGUGGAACCCCAACUGCCCUCUGUCCCUCUGGGAGGUCCACGUGUGACCACAAAUCCCAUAACAGAC